ACCCAAGUUUGUUGCCGGAGGGGAGCCCCUGGACAUGUCCUGGUGAUGAUGUUUUCUACAAUGCUUCAAUCAUCUGGGGAGUUGUUGGACCACUCAGAAUGUUCACAAACUACGGCAACUACCCACAGAUGAACUGGUUCUUCCUAAUAGGCUUUCUUGCCCCAUUUCCAGUGUGGCUGCUUUCGCGCAAAUUCCCUGAAAAAAAAUGGAUCAAGAAUAUUCACAUGCCUCUUCUCUUGGCUGGUCCAGGAAGUUUGCCAUCAGCUAAGGCUGUGAACUAUUUGAGUUGGGGAGCCGUUGGAAUUUUCUUCAACUAUUAUGUUUACAGAAGGUUCAAGGGAUGGUGGGCUAGGCAUACCUAUAUUUUAUCAGCAGCUUUGGAUGCUGGGGUUGCCUUCAUGGGUGUGUUUCUUUACUUCACCCUUCAAUCCCAAGGUAUCUUUGGUCCAGACUGGUGGGGUCUGGCUGCUACUGAUCAUUGUCCUCUGGCAAAAUGCCCCAUCGCACCAGGGAUAAAGGUGAAAGGAUGCCCAGUGGCCUGAGUUGCAGCAGAAAUUCCCAUUAACCAAGUUAUCAACUCAUGAAAGAAUGAAUGUAGAUAACAAAGCUGUAAAUUUCAUUUGGAAAAAUAAAAUAUGGUAUCAUUUAUGAUUAAGCUCUCAAAAUAUUUAAUAAACAAUCGGACAAAGAAGGUUGAUUGGUUGAAGUGGCAUAACGAGGCAUAAAUUAUCAGAGUGAUUCAAUGAAUAAAAUUUUGAAUAAAGAUUUUGGAUUAAAAAGUAAUGGGAAUCCAAUCCAGUUGCCAUUAAUCUCUGCAAGAACAAGAGCCACCCUUGAAACAAUGGAACCUAUUCCUAUCUUGAACAACUAUCUAACAAUUAGUAAUUUAUUUGUAAGUUAAUAUCAUCUCUUGUUAUUAAACUCUAAAAAUAUUCCAAAAUGGCUGUAUUGCAAGAUUUUUAAUUCAUAGAAUCAAAGGUAAAAAUGAAAAAAUCACUUUCCAAGCCAAUUCUGUAUUUAUCUUUUUCUCAUGAAAGUGUUGUAUAAAACAGUCAGUCAGCGGCAACAAAUUGAUCAAAAGAGCUUUAGGGGAUUGCAGCACUUUUUCCAUUUAUAAAUUUUUAUUUUUUGGGCAUAUAUUGGUCAAAAAAUGAUAUGCAAACUCUCACAGACUCACAAGUUAAAAAUUACAGUGAAGCAUAUGCAGUCACUCAAAAAAAAAAAAUGAAAAACAUUUUCUAUUUAUAAAAAUGAAAUACAGAAUUGAAGGUAUAAAAAAAAUGUGAUAAAAGAACAAAGUUGGAAAAUUGAAUUUGUUGAUAAUCUAAAAGUUGGGUAUAGCUUCACUUUGCAUCCUAUUAUAUGAUGCAGCUAAUAAAAUACUAGAAUUAAAUGAAAAUAAAUGCAAAAAACGGAAAUUAAAUCUUAGUUUCAUGGAAAAAGAUAAAAAUAAAAGAAUUUUCCUAGUACUGUUAGUAAAUAAAUUCCAAUGCUGUUUUGAGUUUCAAAAGAACGAAAUUUAACAAAGAAUAUACAAAGCCAAAAGAUGCAAAAUAUGUAUCACUUCUCGCAAGAUUUGAAAUGUUAUAUUACACCCAAAUACUACUUAUGUAACUCAAAAUUAAACCAUUUCAAAUUCACCACUAACAUACCACACCAAUUAAAAAAGAUUUAAAAAAAAAUUUGCGUAGGUACAUGCAUAAUACUAAAAUGUGAUGGGAGAAGCAAAACUCAAUUAAUUAUAUAGAAAUAAAAUACAACCAUAUAUGCAAAAUAAACUUCUUUUCUGGCAAAAAAUUGAAAUUUUUAACCUGAUUGUUGAUGUCGAAAAACGACCUCAACAGCUAAAUUUGUUUUAUUUGGGGAGUAAUAGCACGAAUCUAAGCUCAAACGCCAGUCUGAUUGCAACUUUUUGUACCUGCUAACCACAAAACACAGUUAGGAUAUGCCGGUGGGGUUCCAGCGUAGACCUUCUGAUACUUAAGCCAUAAUUUGUGUAUAAAGAAAGAAAAAUGAGAGGGAAGAAUUGAGAAUAAGAUAAAAUCAAGGAAUUAUCCAAUGGAGGUGUUGAAAAUCUUGUAGGAAGUGAUAAGGCUUUAAAAUUGGUAACUUGUAGAAUUUUUGGUUGAUUUUGUUAACCCCCUCCUCUGAUGCGCUCUUCAACUUAAAUAGGCUCUUGGUCAUGAGUGGUUACCUCCUUAACUUCAACCCACUUUCUUCAGCAGUUGUAAGUGGUUGUCAGUUGGAGGUGGUUUAAAAAUUGUGGCAUACAACUUCCCUAAAAAUUAGGCCACAUUAUCUUGAUUAGUAAUUUUCCAUGUCAAGUUAAUUCUCAAGUUAGACAAAUGAGUUUCGAGGUCGGAUUAUUUUACUUCCAGAUCGGACUAGUGAAUUUUCGGGUCGCCCACAUAGGCUUAAAGUUGUAUUUUUAAAUUAAGUCGUUUAUAUAAACCUCAAGUUAUGCUUGUAAACCAAGUCGUCAACAUAGGCUCCAGGUUGUACUUAUGAGGUCUGCUCAACGGUAAUAAAUUUUGAGUAGGUUAAGGUUGAUUAUAUUUCUAGAUGCUAUCAGAAAAAUCCAACCCCAGCACCAGUCCCCUAGUUUUCAAUAUCGGAAAAUUCAUUACCGAUAUUGGAAACAAAUUACCAAAAAUAGAAAAAAAAAUUGUAGGAAUCCAACACCAGUCCCCUAGUUUUCAAUAUUGAGAAGUCAUUACCGAUGUUGGAAAUUAAUUAACAAAAAUACAGGAAAAAAAUUGUAGGAACCCAACACCGAUCUUGUCGCCUACUCCAAGAUUACAAGCUCAAAUAUUUUACAUGAUGAAGUUAAUUUUUAUAUCCAAGUGGUGAGUUGCUAUCGAAUGCUAUCGAAUAUUGAAAACUACAUAUGUCAACUAGAAGGGCACUACACGAAGAAGAAAAGAGAAGAAGGGAAGACUAACCAGACUACAGUUCUUUCUCAUUGUUUUCAUAUCAAGCUUUGCUUACUACAUCCUGCCAGGAUAUCUUUUCCCUUCAAUAUCUGCUCUCUCCUUUGUUUGUUGGAUAUGGAAGGACUCAGUCACUGUACAAAAGCUUGGUUCUGGCCUUUGAGGCCUUAGUAUGGCCUCCUUUGGCCUUGAUUAGGCAACCGUUGCUGGCUGGCCACACUAUUCUUUGUCGUUGCCAAUAUCUUAGUUUGGUUCUUUUUGCUCCUCUAUAUCCUUAUUCCCAUUGCUUAAGGUGCAAUGUGUUCGAAGCCAAGAGAUUCCCAUUAUUUUCUGCUCACACUUUCGACUAUUCUGGCCGAACUUUAUAUUUCUGAAAUCCUCAAUGAAUAGGAAUUUAGUUUUGACCAAGUUGGCUAUGCCUAUGAUAAUUACAGCAAACUCUAUCUCAGUGUCAUACUUGCCUUCAUAUAUGGCUUGGGCUUUGCAAUUCUAAUGCCCAGCAUUUCACAUGUUGCACUCUUCGAGGGAAAGUAAGCAUCUUCAACAAUAUCUUAAUUUCUCAUGCUGUUGUGCUAAUACAUAUACAUCGAUGAUUUUUCUUCCCUCAAUUUGUUUGAAAAAUAAGCAGAACAAUUUGGCAUAUGUGGAGAAAAACUAGUUCAGUCAAAGAUCAGUUUGGUGAUGUGCACACAAGAAUUAUGAACAAGAACUAUGAAGCGGUGCCUCAAUUAUGUUUCCACACUAUCUUGAUCUGGACGUUUGGCCUUUCCCUCUACACCUGUGAACGGUUUGAUAAACAGUUUCAGCUUCCAUGGUGGGGACUUCUAUUAGCUUGUGCCAUGGCAUUCUUUUUCACAUUACCUGUUGAGGUAAUUCAAGCAACAACAAACUUGGUAUCAACCCAGAUUAUUUACGAAGUAUAUAUGAAAUAAAAAACACAACUCGUGGAUUUCAGAAAAAAAUUCAUAAUUACUCUAAUUGGAUUAAUGCAUGGAUCACAUGACAUGUACGAAGAUUUCUGAAUAGAAUGUAUUAAUCUGCAGCAAACAGGACUAAGCAUAGAGCUGGUUAUUGGGUAUAUUUAUCCUGGUAGGCCCCUUGCUAAUGUAGCUUUCAAGACCUAUGGUUAUAUUAGCAUGCACAAAGCCCUUGGUUUUAUCGAAGACUUCAAAUUAGGCCACUAUAUGAAAAUUCAACCCAAAUCCAUGUUCAUUGUUCAGGUAAUUUUUUAGGUAUAGAGUAUAUGCUAUUUUCUGCUUUAUAGACUGUAUAACAAUUUUAUCUGUAUCUGUGACUAAUUUGUUAGUAAUUGUCAAUGUCUACCUUUAGUUAGCAGGACCCAUAGAUCUGUUGAUCACAUCUGCAACCCAAGUUUGCUGCCGGCUGGGAGUCCCUGGACAUGUCCUGAUUAUGAUGUUUUCUACAAUGCUUCAAUUACCUGGGGAGUUGUUGGACCACUCAGAAUGUUCACAAACUACGGCAACUAACCAGGAAUGAAAUGGUUUUUCCUAAUAGGAUUUCUUGCCCCGAUGGCUGCUUUCGAGCAAAUUCCCUGAAAAAAAAUGGAUCAAGAAUAUUCAUGUCUCUUCUCUUGGCUGGUCUAGGAGGUUUGCCAUCUAAAGCUUUGUUUGAGUUAGCCAACCGUUGGAAUUUUCUUCAACUACUAUGUUUACAGAAGGUCUCAGUGCUGGUGGGCUAGGCAUACGUAUAUUUUAGCAGCAGCAUUGGAUGCUGGGGUUGCCUUAAUGGGUGUGAUUCUUU
rnacentral:lncRNA from 1 species